AUUGAACGCUGGCGGCAGGCCUAACACAUGCAAGUCGAACGAGUGGCGGACGGGUGAGUAAUGUCUGGGAAACUGCCCGAUGGAGGGGGAUAACUACUGGAAACGGUAGCUAAUACCGCAUACCAUCGGAUGUGCCCAUAUGGGAUUAGCUAGUAGGUGGGGUAACGGCUGACAUAGGCGACGAUCCCUAGCUGGUCUGAGAGGAUGACCAGCCAAACUGGAACUGAGACAUGGUCCAGACUCCUACGGGAGUCAGCAGUGGGGAAGAUGGCACAAUGGGCGCAAGCCUGAUGCAGCCAUGCCGCGUGUAUGAAGAAGGCCUUCGGGUUGUAAAGUACUUUCAGCGAGGAGGCGUUACUCGCAGAAGAAGCACCGGCUAACUCCGUGCCAGCAGCCGCGGUAAUAC
rnacentral:rRNA from 1 species